CAUCAUAACUAUAUGCUUAUGGGCCGUUACUAUAAAGUAUUGUCAAUUUGUGUUGAAGGGUUUUUUCUGUAUUUGUGCAGAGCUAGCAAUCUGAGGGAUUGCUUGCCUUUCAUUUCCAUGAGUGUUCUGUUCAGAUACCGCCUGCUGACUGCCAAGGCCAAACUUUGUGUUCUGGGACCAGCACAAGAACAGACUGGGCGAUAGCACCAAGUGUCAACAUAUUUGCAAUUUUGUAUUAUCAUAUCUUGUCGAGUCCACUCCCCCCUUUUCCCUUAGUCACAAUGAUGUAAUAGGGAUUUCCUCAAUAAAUACAGGAGGCACGCGGGCUGUACUUUAGAACGUUGUUUGGAUCUGUAACUAGAGUACAGCCCAAAACACGUGUCUCCUCAUGAGCUCUAUUUAACCCUGUGUCUGCUUGGUUCCUUGGUUCUUGUCUGAUUAAUAGAUGUCACCAGUGUCUGAACCUGACAUCUUCUUGGUCCUUCGAGCCGGAUCCCAACAAGUCUGACGAUUCCAGCCGGGUGAGUAAAGUUGGAAAACCAUGGCACCCACAUCUCCCAUUGAGGAGCUGAUUUUCUUCACCCAAGGCUGGGAUCGGAAUAACUGACGGGAACCGAAGACAAGAGAAAGGAACGCAGAUUUCACUGCGACUUUCUUGGCUCUUCCAUGGCUUCACUCAGAGACACAGGCCGUCACCACACCCCUCUGACUUUCAGUGACUAGGACGGCGGAAGCUCCAUGGAGUCGUACCAGGAACCCUAAGGUUUCUGGACCCAUCCACUUAUUAAAGUAGCAUUAUACUGUAUAUAUUGUUGAAGACGACUACAUUGUAUGAUACUUCAACCGUAUAUACCAGGGGUCCUUAAACUACAACCUGGGGGUCUGGAUCUGGCCCGUGGGACGUCUCAAGUUUAAAAAAAAAUAUAUACAAUAAUUAUUUUUUUUAAAAUCUGUCUCUUCUAGCCGCUCAGGCAAAUCAUAUUGUUGAUGUAGAUGCCUGUAUCUGAUUCACAAAAGAGAAAGAGAAGUGUGGGAUACUUGUCGUUUCUUUACUUUUAUUCGAUUUUAUUAAAUGUUUGCAUAUACUUAGUGUUUGGCGCAGGGGGAUUGGAGCAGGAGGCAAUAGAAAGAAGAAGAAAAAAGAUGACAGAGGAGGAAAUUGUGGGGAAA